rnacentral:rRNA from 1 species
AGUGAACGCUGGCGGUAGGCCUAACACAUGCAAGUCGAACGGCAGCACAGUAAGAGCUUGCUCUUACGGGUGGCGAGUGGCGGACGGGUGAGGAAUACAUCGGAAUCUACUUUUUCGUGGGGGAUAACGUAGGGAAACUUACGCUAAUACCGCAUACGACCUACGGGUGAAAGCAGGGGAUCUUCGGACCUUGCGCGAUUGAUUGAGCCGAUGUCGGAUUAGCUAGUUGGCGGGUUAAAGGCCCACCAAGGCGACGAUCCGUAGCUGGUCUGAGAGGAUGAUCAGCCACACUGGAACUGAGACACGGUCCAGACUCCUACGGGAGGCAGCAGUGGGGAAUAUUGGACAAUGGGCGCAAGCCUGAUCCAGCCAUACCGCGUGGGUGAAGAAGGCCUUCGGGUUGUAAAGCCCUUUUGUUGGGAAAGAAAAGCAGCAGGUUAAUACCCCGCUGUUCUGACGGUACCCAAAGAAUAAGCACCGGCUAACUUCGUG